UCUGCCCCUAGAGAUGUGGCAGGUGUGGCUGCUGUGUCACACCUAUAUUAGUUGGUGGCAGAGUGGAGACAUGCUAUGGCCAUGCUCAGUGUUCUGAUCUGUGAACAUUUGAAUGAUCAGUAGCCUACCAUG